rnacentral:lncRNA from 1 species
AGGUCCUUGUAAAUUUGAAAUCAACCAAGCAUGGCAUAGGAUUUAAGAAUGAGGUUAAAGAAAAGGUUGAAGCCAAACCCCAACCACCUAAGGCUAAAUCUAGGACUAAUAAAACAAAUUCUUAUCCUAGAAAUAGCAAUCCUAGAACUAAUAUGCAUGCUAAACAAAAUGUUGAACAUUUUAGGAGACCUAGAAAUGACUUACCA